CCUACGGGAGGCAGCAGUGAGGAAUAUUGGUCAAUGGGCGGGAGCCUGAACCAGCCAAGUCGCGUGAGGGACGACGGUCCUAUGGAUUGUAAACCUCUUUUGUCGGGGAACAAAGGCGCCCACGGGUGGGCGGCUGAGUGUACCCGACGAACAAGCAUCGGCUAACUCCGUGCCAGCAGCCGCGGUAAUACGGAGGAUGCGAGCGUUAUCCGGAUUUAUUGGGUUUAAAGGGUGCGUAGGCGGACGGUCAAGUCAGCGGUAAAAAUGCGGUGCUCAACGCCGUACAGCCGUUGAAACUGGCAGGCUUGAGUGGGCGAGAAGUAUGCGGAAUGCGUGGUGUAGCGGUAAAAUGCAUAGAUAUCACGAGGAACCCCGAUUGCGAAGGCAGCCUGCCGGGGUGCGACUGACGCUGAGGCUCGAAGGUGCGGGUAUCAAACAGGAUUAGAUACCCCAGUAGUC
rnacentral:rRNA from 1 species